UGCGUAGGCGGAUUAAUAAGUCAGUGGUGAAAACCUGCAGCUUAACUGUAGAACUGCCAUUGAUACUGUUAGUCUUGAGUACGGUCAAGGUAGGCGGAAUGUGUAAUGUAGCGGUGAAAUGCUUAGAUAUUACACAGAACACCGAUUGCGAAGGCAGCUUACUGGACCAUUACUGACGCUGAGGCACGAAAGCGUGGGGAGCGAACAGGAUUAGAUACCCUGGUAGUCC
rnacentral:rRNA from 1 species